GUAGGUGGCAAGCGUUGUCCGGAAUUAUUGGGCGUAAAGCGCGCGCAGGCGGUUCUUUAAGUCUGAUGUGAAAGCCCACGGCUCAACCGUGGAGGGUCAUUGGAAACUGGAGAACUUGAGUACAGAAGAGGAAAGCGGAAUUCCACGUGUAGCGGUGAAAUGCGUAGAGAUGUGGAGGAACACCAGUGGCGAAGGCGGCUUUCUGGUCUGUAACUGACGCUGAGGCGCGAAAGCGUGGGGUAGCAAACCAGGGAUUAGAUACCCUGGUAGUCCACGCCGUAAACGAUGAGUGCUAAGUGUUAGGGGGUUUACCCGCCCCGUUAGUGCUGCAGCUAACGCAUUAAGCACUCCGCCUGGGGAGUACGGCCGCAAGGCUG
rnacentral:rRNA from 1 species